GAUGAACGCUGGCGGCAUGCCUAAUACAUGCAAGUCGAACGAAGUUUCGAGGAAGCUUGCUUCCAAAGAGACUUAGUGGCGAACGGGUGAGUAACACGUAGGUAACCUGCCCAUGUGUCCGGGAUAACUGCUGGAAACGGUAGCUAAAACCGGAUAGGUAUACAGAGCGCAUGCUCAGUAUAUUAAAGCGCCCAUCAAGGCGUGAACAUGGAUGGACCUGCGGCGCAUUAGCUAGUUGGUGAGGUAACGGCCCACCAAGGCGAUGAUGCGUAGCCGGCCUGAGAGGGUAAACGGCCACAUUGGGACUGAGACACGGCCCAAACUCCUACGGGAGGCAGCAGUAGGGAAUUUUCGUCAAUGGGGGAAACCCUGAACGAGCAAUGCCGCGUGAGUGAAGAAGGUCUUCGGAUCGUAAAGCUCUGUUGUAAGUGAAGAACGGCUCAUAGAGGAAAUGCUAUGGGAGUGACGGUAGCUUACCAGAAAGCCACGGCUAACUACGU
rnacentral:rRNA from 1 species